AAGGCAGUGUACUUCACCUCACAAACACUCGGUCGAAUGAAGAGACAGAAGGCUCGAGAGAGAGAGAGGGGGAGGGGAAGAGAGAGAGAGAGAAGGGUCUUUUGAGAGAGAGAGAGAGAGACCGAGGAAGAAGGCGAGGAAGAAGGCGAGGGAGAAGAAAGACCAAACGGAUGGAAGAAAGUAAUCGAUACAGAGUAUGAUAAUAUUACUCAGGAUCAAUUUGAUAAUAUUACUCUUAAAGAAGGCCCUGGGAUAUUAUUCAAAGCCUUGGCAGUGUUUGCGUUUAGAGAGAUUAAUUGAUCAAAGAUCGAAGUCGAUCCCAAAGAAGGCGUCCGCUACGCGUUGUGGAUGACACUAACAAGGGGAGUUCCAGGAUAUCAACGGACUUGGAGAUCUCUAAGAAAGCUUCUCAUAUGGAGGAUAAAGUUAAAAAAACCGAAGACAAUCCUCAGACAUUUGGAUGAGAAAGAAUCUAUCACUACAUAUUAAUGUUGAAGAACUAUAUGCUAGUGGUCAGAAUUAAGAUGAGUCGAAUGCCGAUAGCGAUGCAGCUGAUUAUUCAUGAUCAGUAGUACUAUGUUCUAGAUUUUGCUCAAUUAAUUUUGAUGUCCAAAAUUUGAUGUACUUAACCUAUUUUGGUCUAUUUCCAUUAGUGUUCAACUCAGAAUUGUUUUCUUGUUCAGUAAACAUGGUAUUGAUCUUGGCUGUGGUUGCCUAGCAAUGAUCAUACUUGUGAUUGGUAACAGUCUUAGUAUUGUUUUUGAGAUUUGUUGGUGUUCAACAUUUAAUGGUGGAUUAAUAUAUUUUUGGAAUGUUCAUGUCAA